rnacentral:lncRNA from 1 species
AUGCAGCUUCUGGACGGAGGCUUUGGAGCUUUGGGCCCUAGUGUUUCCUCCAGGCUCCAUAGUCUGAUGGGAAAAGUCGUGUUAAUAUCUGAAGGCCAAGUUGAACAUCAAGGCUCCAAGACCCUCCACUUCACGGCUCUCUCUGGGAUGAACCUUUGUGGAGGGAGGGCCUGCUGUGGCAGAGUGCAGGGGCAGAGCUGCCAGACAAAGACAACAGGGGCUGGAGGAAACGGACCAGGCACAUGA